AUUGAACGCUGGCGGCAGGCCUAACACAUGCAAGUCGAACGAGUGGCGGACGGGUGAGUAAUGUCUGGGAAACUGCCUGAUGGAGGGGGAUAACUACUGGAAACGGUAGCUAAUACCGCAUACCAUCGGAUGUGCCCAGAUGGGAUUAGCUAGUAGGUGGGGUAAAGGCUCACCUAGGCGACGAUCCCUAGCUGGUCUGAGAGGAUGACCGGCCACACUGGAACAGAGUCACGGUCCAGAAUCCUACGUGAGGCAGCAUGGGGAAAUAGUACACAAUGGACGCAAGCCUGAUGCAGCCAUGCCGCGUGUAUGAAGAAGGCCUUCGGGUUGUAAAGUACUUUCAGCGGAGAGGCGUUACCCGCUGAAGAAGCACCGGCUAACUCCGUGCCAGCAGCCGCGGUAAUUC
rnacentral:rRNA from 1 species